rnacentral:lncRNA from 1 species
UAAACGAGCAAGAAUACGAGCGAGCUGAGGUCGACUCGUGUUCGGCUCGGUUAUUAAAGGAGCCGAAUACGAGCUGGCUCGUUAAAGUAUCGAGCCGAAAAAUUCAACUCGUGUUCGGCUUAUUUAUUAACGAGCUGGCUCACGAGCUGGCCAACGAACAAUAAAUUAAAAAAAAUUAAAUUAAAUAUAUAUAAAAAAUAAAUUUAUAAAAUAUUAUCCAUUAGAUUUUGAUCUAAUAGUUGAAACUUUACAUAUAAAUGAGUCUUUUUAUAAUU